UUCUUGUUCAAUAAGGGGAAGUUAAAGUUGGUACCCAGGUUUCCGUAGGUGAACCUGCGGAAGGAUCAUUA
rnacentral:rRNA from 1 species